UACGAAGGGGCUAGCGUUGUUCGGAAUUACUGGGCGUAAAGCGCGCGCAGGCGGUCUUCCAAGUCAGUGGUGAAAGCCCGGAGCUCAACUCCGGAACUGCCAUUGAAACUGUUGGACUUGAGUACGAGAGAGGUGAGUGGAAUUCCCAGUGUAGAGGUGAAAUUCGUAGAUAUCGGGAGGAACACCGGUGGCGAAGGCGGCGAUCUGGGUCGAUACUGACGCUGAGGUGCGAAAGCGUGGGGAGCGAACAGG
rnacentral:rRNA from 1 species